GCAGUCGUGGCCUAGUGGUGGACUAGAAAUCCAUUGGGGUCUCCCCGCACAGGUUCGAAUCCUGUCGACUGCG
rfam:Ixodes scapularis strain Wikel colony gcontig_1108378529494, whole genome shotgun sequence.